rnacentral:rRNA from 1 species
UCCGUAGGUGAACCUGCGGAAGGAUCAUUGUCGAACCCUGCAUAGCAGAACAACCCGCGAACACGUUGAAAAACACAUUUGGGGGAUGCGUGCACGGGACAAGGCGACAGCCCCCCGUGCAUGCGGCCCCUUCCUUGUGGUGCCGGAGCAAUCGAGCGAAAGCACGUGAGCUUCGGCCCCCAAGAAACAAACCCCGGCGCAAUUCGCGCCAAGGAAAUCUUUAAACUCAAGGGCGUGCUCUCCUCACGUUGCCCCCGUUUGCGGGUACGCGACUGGGUGUUUGCCCGCUCCUUAGUGAAAACACAAACGACUCUCGGCAACGGAUAUCUCGGCUCUCGCAUCGAUGAAGAACGUAGCGAAAUGCGAUACUUGGUGUGAAUUGCAGAAUCCCGUGAACCAUCGAGUCUUUGAACGCAAGUUGCGCCCGAAGCCUUUAGGCCGAGGGCACGUCUGCAUGGGCGUCACGCAUCGCGUCGCCCCCCCAAGCAUCUUGCACCUCCAAGUGCCCGCUUGCUUGGUGGGGAGCGUACAUUGGCCUCCCGUGCCUCGCAGUUCGGUUGGCUCAAAAUGGAGUCCCCUGUGAAGGACGCACGACAAGUGGUGGUUGAUAAUAAGGCCCUCGCGUUCUGUCGUGCUUGAAUCCUUUGCGGGUUUUGGCUCUUCGAUUAAUGACCCUGAUGACGCGCCUUCACAAUCGCACCCUAGUGGUGGUUGAUGGUGGAGACGUGCUUCGAACGCGACCCCAUGUCAGGCGGGACUACCCGCUGAGUUUAAGCAUAUCAAUAAGCGGAGGA